rnacentral:rRNA from 1 species
ACGCACGCUGGCUGCAUGCCUAACACCUGCCAGUCGCACGAGACCUUCGGGUCUAGUGGCGCCCGGGUGCGUAACGCGUGGGAACCUGCCCUUAGGUUCGGAAUAACUCCCCGAAAGGGGUGCUAAUACCGGAUAAUGUCUUCGGACCAAAGAUUUAUCGCCUUUGGAUGGGCCCGCGUUGGAUUAGCUAGUUGGUAGGGUAAAAGCCUACCAAGGCGACGAUCCAUAGCUGGUCUGAGAGGAUGAUCAGCCACACUGGGACUGAGACACGGCCCAGACUCCUACGGGAGGCAGCAGUGGGGAAUAUUGGACAAUGGGCGAAAGCCUGAUCCAGCAAUGCCGCGUGAGUGAUGAAGGCCUUAGGGUUGUAAAGCUCUUUUACCCGGGAUGAUAAUGACAGUACCGGGAGAAUAAGCUCCGGCUAACUCCGUG